rnacentral:rRNA from 1 species
GACGAACGCUGGCGGCGCGCCUAACACAUGCAAGUCGAACGAAGCACUUUUACAGAUUUCUUCGGAAUGAAGUGAUAGUGACUGAGUGGCGGACGGGUGAGUAACGCGUGGGUAACCUGCCUCACACAGGGGGAUAACAGUUGGAAACGACUGCUAAUACCGCAUAAGCGCACGGUAUCGCAUGAUACAGUGUGAAAAACUCCGGUGGUAUAAGAUGGACCCCGCGUCUGAUUAGCUUGUUGGUGAGGUAACGGCCCACCAAGGCAACGAUCAGUAGCCGACCUGAGAGGGUGACCGGCCACAUUGGGACUGAGACACGGGCCCAAACUCCUACGGGAGGCAGCAGUGGGGAAUAUUGCACAAUGGGCGAAAGCCUGAUGCAGCGACGCCGCGUGAACGAAGAAGUAUUUCGGUAUGUAAAGUUCUAUCAGCAGGGAGAAGAAAUGACGGUACCUGACUAAGAAGCUCCGGCUAAAUACGUGCCAGCAGCCGACGG